AAUAAAAGAAUCGUAAUAGGUGCUUGUUAAGAUAACAAGUUAAAAGGGAAAUCGGUGCAAAUCCGAUACGGUCCCGCCACUGUAAACGGGGAGCUAUCCUGCAUUAAGUCACUGGCUAGAAGCUGGGAAGACGUAGGAGGCGAUGAUCCUGAGUCAGGAAACCUGCCUAUUAUUGUUCACCAAA
rnacentral:ncRNA from 2 species